UACGUAGGGUGCGAGCGUUAAUCGGAAUUACUGGGCGUAAAGCGCGCGUAGGCGGCUUUGCAAGUCGGGUGUGAAAUCCCCAGGCUCAACCUGGGAACUGCAUUUGUGACUGCACGGCUGGAGUGCGGCAGAGGGGGAUGGAAUUCCGCGUGUAGCAGUGAAAUGCGUAGAUAUGCGGAGGAACACCGAUGGCGAAGGCAAUCCCCUGGGCCUGCACUGACGCUCAUGCACGAAAGCGUGGGGAGCAAACAGG
rnacentral:rRNA from 1 species